rnacentral:lncRNA from 1 species
CCCGCUGUAUCGAAUUCUUUUAGUAUCCAGCCUGCUCCCUUUGUUCAGUCGGAAGACUUUUCUUUUGAAAAAGACUUUUUAGUCCCGUCCAACAAGAGAGGUAAAGCCUUUCUAUUCAAAUGAGACGCACUCCCAUUGUCUCGCUAAGGUCAGCAGCAGGACAUAGAGCAGGGAUUGAGUAGUCUUGGGAGGCGGACUUAUAUUCCCCGGUUACGAGUUGACGACGUUUUCACUACUCAAACUUGAAAAAGUCUUUUACACCUUCGGGAAAGCGUACCGGAAGACCCAAUGUCGCGUCCAACAAGAGAGGUAAAGCCUUUCUAUUCAAAUGAGACGCACUCCCAUUGUCUAGCUAAGGUCAGUAGCAGGACAUAGAGCAGGGACUGAGUAGUCUUGGGAGGCGGACUUAUAUUCCCCGGUUACGAGUUGACGACGUUUUCACUA